rfam:Spirodela oligorhiza chloroplast gene for ribosomal protein L16
GGGAGCCGGAUGAGAAGAAACUCUCAUGUCCGGUUCUGUAGUAGAGAUGGAAUAGGGAAAUAACCAUCAACUAUAAC